rnacentral:snRNA from 1 species
GUACUCACUCUGGCAGCACAUAUACUAAAAUUGGAAUGAUACAGAGAAGAUUAGCAUGAUCCCUGUGCAAGGAUGACACGCAAAUUUGUGAAGCAUUCCAUAUUAAA